rnacentral:rRNA from 1 species
AGCGAACGCUGGCGGCAGGCCUAACACAUGCAAGUCGAACGAACCCUUCGGGGUUCGUGCCGGUCGGGUGAGUAACACGGGGGAAGGUGCCUUUAGGUUGGGAAUAGCUCAGGGGAACGUGUGCUAAUACCGAAUGUGCCCCUCGGGGGAAAGAUUGAUCGCCUUUAGAGCGGCCCGCGUCUGAUUAGCUAGUUGGUUGAGUUUAUGGCGCACCAAGGCGCCGAUCAGUAGAUUGGCAGAGAGGAUGGGCAGCCACAUCGAGACUGAGACACGGCCCAGACUACUGCGGGAGGCAGGAGUGGGGGAUCUUGCGAAAUGGGCGAAAGGAUGACGGAGCCAGGCCGGGAGAAUGAUGAAGGUCUUAGGAAAGUAAAAUUCUUUAACCGGGGACGAUAAUGACGGUAACCGGAGAAGAAGCCCCGGCUAACUUCGUG